GGCGCUAUAGCCAAGUGGUUACGGCGACAGAUUCGAAUCUUGUGAAUUAUCUGUUCCUCUUUGAGGGCGCAGGUUCAAAUCCUGCUGGCGUCG